ensembl:lncRNA
GGAACGCAGGCAUCUGUUUAAAGCAAAUGGAUUUAAUUUUAACAAAUGCCUGCGUUCCCAAAAAAUAUUAAAGUUGUUGAUAAAAUGCACUGAGUGGUCAGUACAUGCUGAUAUGAGCCAUUUAUUCAGUGCAAACAACCUGCUGAAUCUCUCGUCUCCCCCUCUGACGGGCGGUACAGGUCCACUGAUGAAUACAGCUGCAUUCAGAGAGUUUACAGUGUUUAAUAAUCCAGUAAAGUCCCGUUUCAGAACCUCCGACUGUUGUUUGGACACAUCGUUUGACCCUGUAUGCAGAACAAUGUUUGUCACGGUUGGAUAUUCAUCUGCAAUUUGAAGAAUUCUCUCCUUCAGGUUGUUGAUCAUAUCCUUAGGAAAGCAGAGGACUUUAGUGUUCUUACCGCACAUCCUUUGUGCAUCCUUUACGGCAGAGUCACCCACAAUCAGAGUUUCAGGCCUAGCCUUUAGUUUUCCCUGUGGCCUUUUACUUUUCAACAGAUUUUCAGACCUUACUUCGCUACUUUUAGAUGGAUGGUUGUCCGAUAUAGAUCCAGGGUCCUUUGAUAGUGGAGCAAAUCUGUUCUGCAGUUUCACAUUCAGUUGUUUUGGAGGUUUGUUGUUAACCUUCCUAUUCACGGUUGUCCAGUCCUGUUUCCUCCCGUAUACAGGGGUAGAAGAGCUUCUCUGUCUUGUAGGAAGUGAAGGCCAGUCGGUUUCAGAGAUUUCAGCUCGCUGUGCUCUGCCUGUGAUACGUCCUCCCCCUUCCAGGAGACAUGAUUUAUGCCUUGGUUUUGCACCAAGACAGUCCAAGGGGGGAUUAUCGCUUGAGGAUUUAUAAUAAUGCACAGAGUCUACUUUCUUGGUCAUGUUAUCUGUGCUCCUUAGCUGUGUAUUAGCUUGCUCAUCGCCAUUGUUUUGAAUCAAAGGCAAGGUUGUUUCAUUUCCGCACAGUCCAUUUACCUCCACGUUUACUUCUAAGCGAUGAAUUUUUGUCUCCAGUACUGCAAUCUUCUGCAGGAG